GCUAGUGGGGGCAAAGUUUCAGUGCAUUCUGUUGAUGUAGACGACGUGAAAACGGAAACAAGUAUGCCGUCUGACUGUGCUGCAUAUAGUUGCACAUGACGUCGUACGAUUGAGACAAGGAAACUUGGAAUGACUUUUCAUAGGUUUCCCAGAGACUAUGGGUUGAGGAGGAAGUGGAAGUUUGUCAGCUUAGACCUGGUGUCAUUCCAUCAGUGUUAAAUUUCCCGGCUCAUCUUGGAAGAGUACGUGCCAGAAAGACCACGACCAAGCAGCCUUGAGAUCUUAGGCAGCGUCUCCCUGAGGUCCCUAUCUCCCCACACAUCCACCAACCACUGGAACACAUCUCCAAAGUUCUGCUGGACCAGCUCAGCUUCCCCUCAGAAGAAGUGCUGCCACCUGCCAGAUGAAGGAGCCUUUUGAGAGGCAGCUGGCAUCGUGAUUGGACUGUACUUUGGUCUGUUCCAAUCCAGCUUCAGCUCCAGAGACGGCAGGCGGGACGAGUCAACGGAGGCCGGAUGGACGAAGGCAUGCAGCUGAGUACAAUCCAGAAAACAACAGAGGAGGAGUGCAGCAGCCCAGAGCCAGAACAACCAGAGUAGCAUGGUAUGUCUCUUAGAAAACAUCAUAGUAUAUCCUUUGGUAUGAAAAAACACCAUCAUAUACAUCGUAUAUUGUACAAAUAACAAGUCAAAGGAAAGAGACAUACAUUGUAGAAUUGUAGUAAUUGUGGGCUGACUGAUUGAC
ensembl:lncRNA